CUACGGGCGGCAGCAGUGGGGAAUAUUGCACAAUGGAGGAAACUCUGAUGCAGCAACGCCGCGUGGAGGAUGACACUUUUCGGAGCGUAAACUCCUUUUAUAUAGGAAGAAGAUGACGGUACUAUAUGAAUAAGCGCCGGCUAACUCCGUGCCAGCAGCCGCGGUAAUACGGAGGGCGCAAGCGUUACUCGGAAUCACUGGGCGUAAAGAGCGUGUAGGCGGAUUAAAAAGUCAGAAGUGAAAUCCUAUAGCUUAACUAUAGAACUGCUUCUGAAACUCUUGAUCUAGAAUAUGGGAGAGGUAGAUGGAAUUUCUGGUGUAGGGGUAAAAUCCGUAGAGAUCAGAAGGAAUACCGAUUGCGAAGGCGAUCUACUAGAACAUUAUUGACGCUGAGACGCGAAAGCGUGGGGAGCAAACAGGAUUAGAUACCCUUGUAGUC
rnacentral:rRNA from 1 species